GACGAACGCUGGCGGCGUGCUUAACACAUGCGAGUCGAACGGAAAGGCCCUGCUUUUGUGGGGUGCUCGAGUGGCGAACGGGUGAGUAACACGUGAGUAACCUGCCCUUGACUUUGGGAUAACUUCAGGAAACUGGGGCUAAUACCGGAUAGGAGCUCCUGCUGCAUGGUGGGGGUUGGAAAGUUUCGGCGGUUGGGGAUGGACUCGCGGCUUAUCAGCUUGUUGGUGGGGUAGUGGCUUACCAAGGCUUUGACGGGUAGCCGGCCUGAGAGGGUGACCGGCCACAUUGGGACUGAGAUACGGCCCAGACUCCUACGGGAGGCAGCAGUGGGGAAUAUUGCACAAUGGGCGGAAGCCUGAUGCAGCAACGCCGCGUGCGGGAUGACGGCCUUCGGGUUGUAAACCGCUUUCGCCUGUGACGAAGCGUGAGUGACGGUAAUGGGUAAAGAAGCACCGGCUAACUACG
rnacentral:rRNA from 1 species